GCUCGUUGCGUGCGUCUAUACAGCUCCACGAAGUGAGGGUGUGGGGGGGAUUACGCAGUGGGGCGCGAGCGCGCCCUGCUCUGCCUCGGACGGCCCUCGGCUGCCGUGCCUGCCGACUCUGAUGAAGUCUGUGUUGGUAGGGACAUCUGAGAGCGCUGAUGAAUGCCAACGGCUCUGAUGGCGGCCCGCGCGAGCCCGCCGAGUGGCCGGGGUUGCGUAGCCGGUCGCUCGGGACAGGCCGGCGGCGCAGCCCACGUGACCCCCGUGGGAGCCCGCGCUCCGCACGGCGCCGUCGCUGGCGCCCCGACUCCUGAGGUGCAGCCUCCGCUGCCGUGGAGGGGGAUCGCGGCAGGGAAGUGUGCGGUCAGCAGCGUGCAGACUGGCAAUGGACGCGUUCUGAACACGUGCCCGAUUCUGUCCUUAGGCAUGCUGCCACGUACGGAUGCGGUGUGGCGCGUGAUGGCCCCUGACGCACGAGUUCCGCGCCAGAGAGGAAGGAGUACGGAGAUUUUGAAGAGCAAGCCUCAGUCUACCAGAGGUCACACAGGCACAAUAAAGGAAGUUGGAAGUUGA
rnacentral:lncRNA from 1 species